rnacentral:rRNA from 1 species
UACCAGCACCCCGAGUGGUCGGGACGUUUAUUGGGCGUAAAGAGCUCGUAGGCGGCUUGUCGCGUCGGAUGUGAAAGCCCGGGGCUUAACUCCGGGUCUGCAUUCGAUACGGGCAGGCUAGAGUGUGGUAGGGGAGAUCGGAAUUCCUGGUGUAGCGGUGAAAUGCGCAGAUAUCAGGAGGAACACCGACGGCGCAGGCAGCGUCCUGGCCGCUUGCUGACACUGAGGCACGAAAGCUGGGGGAGCAAACAGG